UUUCAUACUGCUGUUGAUGAUGUGAAUUUUGGAAAUAUUCUCCCCUAUUGGGUCUUUCUCCAUGACAGAUGAUGUCCUUUGGCUUCGGUUUUUUGCCUAAGAACUGUAAGUGGUGCUUGCUAGCCCUACUAAGAAUCCUGCCAUUGUUGCAAAUUUCAGAAAAAAGUGAUUAUCCAGGGACUACAGAUGGGGUCAGCAGCAUGCCCAGUCACCUGCAUUGCCUAAUGAAUGGCUGACUGCCUCAGCAUCCCCUGGGCAGAGGCUGGAGUGCAGUGGUGCACACGCCUCACACUGUGACACAGCGGGAGAGCCCAGAGCGACAGCUGUUGGAAUGACUGCACUCUUCCUGCUCAAGUCUGACCUUUCCAAGCCUUUGUCCUAUGUCUGGAGACUUCUUGGAAGCUGGAGCACACAAAUAGCUACAGCAAACUUGAGGAAUGGGCAUGAAUAGACUGGCUUCGGGGAACCUGCCAGCUUGGCCGUGUGGCCAAGGUAAUAGGCAAGCCAAGGCAGAGCUAGAGCUCAGAGCUGGAGGGGAAAUUAAAGCAGCAAAUGUAGAAACAUUAAGCCUGAAGAGGCGACGACGUUGAAUUCUAAAAUGCAGGCCAAAGCUCAGACUGCAAGCUGUCUGGCUGCUCCGGGUGUGCCCAGAAGUCAAAGUCCAGCAGGGGCAAAGGUGGAGGUGUGGUCCUGCACGUGGGGUGUUGGGGGGAUGUGGAAGAGGAGGUGCUUUAAGAUCCAGAGAUUCCAGCUGCCCUGGUGCACCCUUGGAAGAAUAAAAGGCUAGGAACUGGACAAGUCAGGCUCGAGUCCAAGCUGCCUGAGGAAUCGGGGAAAGAAUGGAGCUCAGAGUGGGAGGUCAGGGCAGUAUUUAAAAAUCCAGGAUAGCAGCAAAGCUGGCGGUGGCCCCUGACUCUGGUAAGGGCAGCCUGCAGCACCAUGCCAAGGGGGGCCUGACUGAUCAUGCCCUGCAUUUGCAAACAAGGAUUAGUAGGGUAUGAGUAGGAUUCUGCUGGUGCCUGGGAAGGCAGUGCCAUCUACAACUUUACAAAGUUUUAACAAAGGCCUGAAGGACACAACCUUCCCCAAAGUCCUGACGUCGCUGUUUGCUGGCAACAAAUAGAGUCAAAAGAAGAGAGGCACAGAAUGUGCCAGGGGUGUGCUGCGUACAGCCCCGAUGACCACAAGGCCUUCUUGGGUCAAGUUCUGCCAUCUCUGGUUAAGAUGGGCUCACCCUCUAGGACCCUGAUUGAGUCCUCGGACCACCAAGAGUGCCCCACCAAGAGCCUCCCUCUUCUGGUGACUCGUGCCUGCUUCCCGUGGAGAGCUCCAGAAGGGAGGAAACUGUGAGGAGGUGGAGAACGUGGCAGGGAUCCUAACUUUCUUACUGAAGGAAGUUCUUCACAAGUACCCAUCUGCCUUCAGGGAAGAAAACAUAACUCAUUUUGGUCUUUCAAAUUCAGUUCUCAAAACCAAAUCCUGUUGUCAGCAAUCUGUGUCCCAACGCCUUCUUCAGCAACAGCAUUUUCCCUGUGGAAUUAGUUUCCAAUGUUCUUUCUUAAAUAAACCACUGAAGAUUAAAAGGAAUCCAGAUACCCACCACAUUUUGUUUCCUUAAUGAGUAAUUAUCACAUUUCUUUGGCUACUUAAAUGCAUUCUCUGAGUCAGGUAAAGGAGAUCGUAAUAGUUAAUCAACAAGAAGUAAUUCUUGGGUACUUAACAAUAGUCUAAGCACUUAAUCAUACUUAAAAUUGACUAUUAAUGAACCUUAUAAACCAUUUUGCAAUUCUGAAAGUGAAUUUCUCUGCAGGCUUAGAGAUUACUAAGCCAUUUAGAUCUUACCAAACAAAUAUUAUUCAUGCUUUAAUUCCUGGGAAAAGAAAUUUAGAAAAUGAGGUUAAUGUUCAGUUGUCCUUUCCUGAGUUUAACAAUUAUAUAUUCCAUCUGGGAUGCUCUGAACUCAGGUUAAACAUUCUUCAAGUUAUUCCCACAUUUUUCAAGUUAUUCCCACGUUAGUGACCUACUUUAUUAGUAUUAUUACUAAAGAAAAGGGCUGGGUGCGGUGGCCCACAUCUGUAAUCCCAGCACUUUGGGAGGCUGAAGCAGGAGGAUCACUUGAGCUUGGGAGUUCAAGACCAGCCUGAGAGGGAGACUCCGUCUCUACAAAAAAAAAAAAAUUAGCCAGGUAUGGUGGCACGCGCUCAUGGGCCCAGCUACUCAAGGAGGCUGAGGUGGGAGGAUCACGUGAACCUGGGAGGCAGAGCCUGCAGUGAGCCCUGGUUGUGCCUCUGUACUCAAGCCUGAGAGACAGAGUGAGACCCUGUCUCCAAACAAUAAAGUAAAAUAAAUAAAUAAAUAAAUAAGAAUGCAAAUCAAAGACAUUAAGAAAUAGCUUUACUUUAAUGUAGGCAUUUAAGGUAAAAUAGGUCACAUUCUCUUUUUUAAAAAAAUUACUGACCCACAGAAAAACAAGUCAAAAAGCAGACUAUUUCAUAUUAGUGUCUUUUUUUUAAAGAGGAUUAAUAUAAAUUGCCUUCUCACCUGUUUUUAAAAUAAAGGACUGAAUGAUAGAACUUAGACAACAAAUCUAGUAGCAUGAUAAAAGCCUUUCUUUGAUAGCUAGAAAAGGUAAACAAAGAAUAAAACAGGGUGAAGAAGAAAGAGGACAGAUAGAAUGUGAAUAUUAUCUACCUUUUUCUCAAGAUAAAACUAAUAUUGCUUUCUAAAAAGAAGCAAUUCUUUAGAGCAGAGGUCAGCAAACUUUUUCUAUAAAGAGCCAGAUAUUAACUAUUUUAUAAUUUGCAAACCACAUAAGUCCUCUGUUUCAUAUGGGUUUUUUUCUUUUUUCUUUUUAAACAAUACUUUAAAAAUGCUGAAAAUAUUCUUAGCUUACAUCUACAAAAAAGCAGGCAGUGGGCUGAUUUGACUCACAGGUGGUAUAGCUUGCUAAUUCCUGCUUUAGAUUUUAAGAAUGAGGCAGAUGUUGCCAGAAUUUGCUCUAAUUUACUAUGAGGUUUGCAAAUAAAAGUGCUCUUGACAUGAAAACUUGCUAUUUUUAAUGGAAAGACAUGUACAGCCCUUUCUCAGGAAGUGGAGAUUAAUGCAUAAAAUUUUAUUUUCCUAACAUAAAGCAUGUUUUUUCAAAAAAUGGCUUCUCCAUCUUGUGGCCCUUUGAUUAUGAUAGCUCUGAAAGCUUUGAAAAGCUUGCAAAUACUCAACUUCAGGAAUAAAACCACCUAUGAGACCCUCACCUGAAGGCAGGAUCUUUCCUGCAGCCUUGAGUCUUCCUAAUCAGAACCAUUGUUUCGUAAACUGGACUCCGAAGACAACACUUAAAGUCACUCAAGUUCGCUACAAAAUUCUUGUUUUGUGUUUUCAUUUCUAAAGACAAUAAAAAUAAUUGAUAUGAUCAAGUUUGGGAUUAUCUAGAUGAUCUAGACAACUAUUGCGGUCAAAAUAGGCCUGAUCACAGGCAUUUUCAGUACCCAUGGAAUUCUAGAGCUUUGGAUACUUGUCUAGUCUGUUUGGGUCACUAUAACAAAAUGCCAUAAACUGGGUGCUUAUAAAGAACAGAAUUUUAUUUCCCACAGUUCUGCAGGCUGGGAAGUCCAAAAUCGAGGCAGAUUUGAUGUCCUCAAGUGAUGGAAGAAUCAAGAGGUCUCUCUGGGGGCUCUUUUAUAAGGGCACUAACCCCAUUCAUGAGAGCAGAGCCUAAUUACCUCCCUAAGGCCCCAACUCCUAAUACUAUCACCUUGAGGGUGAGGAGGGAAACAUAAAAAUACCAUAGUAAUACUAAUAGGUACAUCAGUGAAGAACAAUAUCACAGUAUCGUGUAGACAGGAAGAUUUUGCUGCAAUUUGGUUGUUAAAACAAAAAGUCGUGGGUGGAUACAAUCAUCAGACAGUUCAGAAGUGGCAUCCACGUACUCACCCAAAGGAGGUGCACUGCAGUUGUGGGAGCCCUGUGCUUGCUACUAGCAGUGACUUAAUUUCUGCAAAGCUAUGUGAUCACAUUCAACUAUGCUAGUUAACUUUAAUUUUACUGAAUUUGGUUUAGGUAGGUAGUUUGUAAAUUUAACUUUCUACUUGUAUAAGAAGUAUAAUUAUAAAAACAGCAGGUCAGCACGACAGGUCUGAGAGAAUCUGUAUUCUGUAAAAAAAUACCUAUUUCUUACUUGGCGAAAAACAUUAGUCAAUGUUGCACCAAAAACCCCCCAAAAGCUAUAGAUCAGAUAUUGACUAAAAUGAAUAUACAAAAAUCUUGACUGGAAAUAUUUUAAGUCAAAACUAACAGCCUAUUUCAGGUAUUGACAGAACAAAUUCCAGAAGCAGAAUAACUGAAACAAUCAUGUUGAAAUUAAUUAUAAUGGGCAGAAUUUGACUGAAACUUGUUACCACCUUCACCAAAAUAUAGCCUUUCUUAUACUAUCAAAUGUAUUGAAUAAAUUGUGAGCACUUUCUUGUACAACUUCUAAAAAUUUAGCUUUGCUUUUGUUAUCUGAAUAUUGUACAGGAAUAUGAGCAUGCAAAUAAGAUCUUUGUUUAGUUUCAAGUCUUUUU
rnacentral:lncRNA from 1 species